UGGCUCAGAUUGAACGCUGGCGGCAGGCCUAACACAUGCAAGUCGAACGGUAGCACAGAGAGCUUGCUCUCGGGUGACGAGUGGCGGACGGGUGAGUAAUGUCUGGGAAACUGCCUGAUGGAGGGGGAUAACUACUGGAAACGGUAGCUAAUACCGCAUAACGUCGCAAGACCAAAGAGGGGGACCUUCGGGCCUCUUGCCAUCAGAUGUGCCCAGAUGGGAUUAGCUAGUAGGUGGGGUAACGGCUCACCUAGGCGACGAUCCCUAGCUGGUCUGAGAGGAUGACCAGCCACACUGGAACUGAGACACGGUCCAGACUCCUACGGGAGGCAGCAGUGGGGAAUAUUGCACAAUGGGCGCAAGCCUGAUGCAGCCAUGCCGCGUGUAUGAAGAAGGCCUUCGGGUUGUAAAGUAUAUUCAGCGGG
rnacentral:rRNA from 1 species